AAUGAUGAGCCUGAACUAAAGGGAUAUCGUGAUAGGAUAUAUCAUGUGGGAUCCUACCCCACCUUCAUUA
rnacentral:tRNA from 1 species